GUCCAGGUCUCUGCAUGCUGAAGCUGGAUGAAGGGUCAGGGUAAGCUGGGGAGGCAGGAAGGGGUCAGUGCAGGAGUGUGAUGAUCACCAGAGGCCUUGUGUCAGGGUUGUUAUGAGAAGGGAAGGAGAAAUACCUCUUUAAAUAAAAGCUUGGGCAUGUUUAGAGCAUGUGCAGAUGCUGAUAGGAGGGACCCUAUAGAGAAGGAGAAUUGAUGGAUAGCGUGUGGUCCUGAGAGUGUCAGAGGGAUAGGAUUUGUAGCUCAGCUCAGGGUUGGCCUGGGACACAAGUAGCAACACCUGUGUGUGAAAAGAGACCAGGAAAGGGGGAUGCAGUGCAGGUGGGCCUUUCUUACAGGUGGCUCACGGGAAGGUGAGGGAGUGCUGGCAGCGACCGUGUUUGCUCUGUGUUAGGAGACUUUGACCUCUGCACUGAGUGAGUAGGGGUGUGUAAGGCCAAAUGUUUGAAAAUAGCGUGGAAAUGUUUCAUGUGGAUGCACAGAACCAUCACUGAGAACAGGUGGGAGGAAAAAGUGUGCUUCUGGAGGCUGGUGGGGGUACAGGGUGGGGAUAAUGUUGACUCCACCCCAGGACUGGGUGCAGCAAAGGCGAAGCAGUACACACCUCUCUGGCUGGUGCUUUGCUGGAUGGGUGAUAUAUCUGAAGGGAAAAAGAGGCCUUACUUACUCAAGGAGGAGCAGGCUGCCAGAGUGUGUGAGACCUGACUAGUGCCUUGCUGGCCUCAGCUCCGCCAUUGCAUGUUCAUCUGAACUAGGACCCAAGGGUACUUGGAGAAGGUGUUGGGUGCGGAUUUCUACAAACUGCCAAGGGCUACAGCAAUGAGAACUCUCUCAGCGGUAGACCUGCUUCAGCAUGAAGGACUGCACUUAAAGGGAUGCAUACUAUUCCAGCUCAAGCAACAGAUACUGAAGUGCAGAUCACUGUCCUUUGUUGAAAAGGAUCAGCAGUUUGUCAACAUAGGUAACACGCCAGAGCAAGCCUUGGGAUGCAACUCUGAAAACAGGUUAGGCCCUCUUUUCCCCAAGCCCUGCAAUAAAAUACAAA
ensembl:lncRNA